rnacentral:rRNA from 1 species
GACGAACGCUGGCGGCGUGCUUAACACAUGCAAGUCGAACGGAAAGGCCCUGCUUUUGUGGGGUGCUCGAGUGGCGAACGGGUGAGUAACACGUGAGUAACCUGCCCUUGACUUUGGGAUAACUUCAGGAAACUGGGGCUAAUACCGGAUAGGAGCUCCUGCUGCAUGGUGGGGGUUGGAAAGUUUCGGCGGUUGGGGAUGGACUCGCGGCUUAUCAGCUUGUUGGUGGGGUAGUGGCUUACCAAGGCUUUGACGGGUAGCCGGCCGGAGGGGGUGACCGGCCACAAUGGGACUGCGAUAAGGCCCAGACUCCUACGGGAGGCAGCAGUGGGGAAUAUUGCACAAUGGGCGGAAGCCUGAUGCAGCAACGCCGCGUGCGGGAUGACGGCCUUCGGGUUGUAAACCGCUUUCGCCUGUGACGAAGCGUGAGUGACGGUAAUGGGUAAAGAAGCACCGGCUAACUACGUG